rnacentral:rRNA from 1 species
GUGCCAGCAGGAGCGGUAAUACGAGAGCCUCGAGCGUUAUCCGGAAUUAUUGGGCGUAAAGGGUGCGUAGGUUGUUCUGUUAGUCUUUUGUCAAAGCCCCGAGCUUAACUUGGGAAUCGCGAAAGAAACGGCAGAACUUGAAAGUGCGAGAGGCGUACGGAACUUAUGGUGUAGGGGUGAAAUCCGUUGAUAUCAUAGGGAACACCAAAUGCGAAGGCAGUACGCUGGCGCAUAUUUGACACUGAAGCACGAAAGCGUGGGUAGCGAAUGGGAUUAGAUACCCCAGUAGUCCACGCCCUAAACGAUGAUCUCUCGCUAUUCGGAGUAUCGACCCUCUGAGUGGCUUAGCUAACGCGUUAAGAGAUCCGCCUGGGAAGUACGGCCGCAAGGCUAAAACUCAAAGGAAUAGACGGGGACUUGCACAAGCAGUGGAUUAUGUGGUUUAAUUCGAUGGUAAACGAAGAACCUUACCAGGGUUAGAAAUCCUGUUGCAAGCCUUUAGAAACAUUGGCCCUCGCAAGACAGCAGGACAGGUGAUGCAUGGCCGUCGUCAGUUCGUGGUUUGAAUUGUACCCUUAAGUGGGCUAACGAACGCAACCCUCGUUGUGUGUUACAAGUGUCACACGAGACCGCCCCCACCUUUGUUCGCGAAGCGAACAAUUUUCAAGUAGCAAUUUACAAUUUUCAGUCAAUUAUCAAUGAUUCAAUUUAAAAAUUAUUCAUUGUAAAUUAAAAAUUUAUUGAAAAUUAGAAAUUAAAAAUUGAAAAUUUGUUUAUGCUUACGCAUAAAGGUGGGGGAGGAAGGAGAGGAUGACGCCAGGUCAGCAUGUCCCUCUGAUACCCUGGGCUACACACAUAAUACAAUCGCCGUUACAACGCGCAGCGACGAGGUAACUCUGAGCUAAUCGUGAAAAGCGGCGCCAGUUCGGAUUGAGGUCUGCAACUCGACCUCAUGAAGCCGGAAUUGCUAGUAAUCGCAGGUCAGCUAAACUGCGGUGAAUACGUUCUCAAGUCUUGUACUCACCGCCCGUCAAGUCAAGGGAGCCGGGAGUACCCGAAGUAUCCGCAUAAGCGGGUCCUAAGGUAAGCUCGGUGACAGGGACUAAGUCGUAACAAGGCACGGCUAGCGGAAGCUG